rnacentral:rRNA from 1 species
GACGAACGCUGGCGGCGUGCUUAACACAUGCAAGUCGAACGAUGAAGCCGGAGCUUGCUCUGGUGAAUUAGUGGCGAACGGGUGAGUAACACGUGAGUAACCUGCCCUUGACUCUGGGAUAACUGCGGGAAACUGUAGCUAAUACCGGAUACGACCCUCGGAGGCAUCUCCUGGGGGUGGAAAGAAUUUCGGUCAAGGAUGGACUCGCGGCCUAGCAGCUAGUUGGUGAGGUAACGGCUCACCAAGGCGACGACGGGUAGCCGGCCUGAGAGGGUGACCGGCCACACUGGGACUGAGACACGGCCCAGACUGCUACGGGAGGCAGCAGUGGGGAAUAUUGCACAAUGGGCGCAAGCCUGAUGCAGCAACGCCGCGUGAGGGAUGACGGCCUACGGGUUGUAAACCUCUUUUAGUAGGGAAGAAGCGAAAGUGACGGUACCUGCAGAAAAAGCACCGGCUAACUACGUGCCAGCAGCCGCGGUAA